rfam:Hordeum vulgare subsp. vulgare, WGS project CAJW01000000 data, contig: morex_contig_368897
CUUAUACUCCCUCCGUCCGAAAAUACUUGUCCUAAAAAUGUAUAAAAUGGAUGUAUCUAUAACUNNNAUAAGUCUAGAUACAUCUAUUUCUAGGACAAGUAUUUUCAGACGAAGGGUGUAUUUA